GGGCUCACUUCAGCAGCACACAUACUAACACUGAAACAAUACAGAAAAGACUAGCAUGGCCCUGUGCAAGAAUGCCAUUGAAAUCCAGGAAGCCUUCCACUUGUUU